ensembl:lncRNA
CUCACAAGAGCCGCGCCUGCCUCCCCAGGAGCUGGUGACAUACCAUGCUCCACUGUCCGUAGAGCCUUUCUGCCUUUCUCCUGCCCUUCCCAAUCCUGACUAGCAGAUGGGGAACGGAGCUCCACACUCCUUGCUGGAUGACUGCUAAGUGCCAGCCCAAGGGUCUUCCCUCAGUCCCUCUGUGCCUUGAGACUGCAGAAGAACUCAAAAAAAAAAAAAAAAAAAAAGUGAAAUCAGCUGAGAUGAACCAAAAAUGGCCCAAACGCACAAAGCACAAAGCAGCAACCACAUUCUUAGAACGGGAAACAUCUGCAGAAUAUCAUGGUUUUGUAAUUUUGCUAUUGGUAUUCCACAUCAUAACAUCAUGGACAGCACGGGUAAAUAAAGGGCUAAUACUCCAGUUCCGUGGAUUGACAACUUUCCAGAUACCUGAUUCUCAAAAGAGAAGAACUACGUAUCCCAGAGGACCUCACAGUCAGAGAAGGAAGAUACGUCAUAGAAAUCAUGGGAUUUGUCACGUGAUCAGGCUCAUGCUCUCUCUCUCUUGCUGCCUGGCAGAGGGGUGGGUGCACUUCCAAGCCAUGCGCCUUCAUCAAGAAAACCUGGUUGAGAGGAACUGGAGCGAGAGAGCAACUGGAUGGGGAGCAGCAAUAUUGACAAGAAGGCUGGAGACAAGUUUUGUGAACAGCAGCUCAGGAGGCCUAGGAUAUUUUGCUGUUUCCUAAGGAAAGACGCUCUCUAUGCCUGCCUUUUCUCUUCUGGGUUCUUGUGCCCUACCAGACUCUUGCUCAAAGGUUGUCAUACAAUUCAGCUGUGCCUGACAGCCAGCACUGUCACAGCUAUUGUGGUGGCUCUGAGACUGAAAUUCAACCUCCAGAUGUAGCUGGGAGUUAGUUCAUCAGUGUCAGGGAAGACUGGAGCCAGCUGAAGGACUUGAACCUAGGCCCAAUGAGCUGGCCACAUGGAAAAGCCAAGCAGCUACAUACUGUAAUCCUGAACAGCCCAUUCAACGGUCAGAUAUCCAGAUAGCUUGCUGGGCUCCAGGGCAACAAACAAAAGCAAUGAUGAAAACACAGAAAUUUUGCAGAUCAGUAGAUGCAUUUCAUACUCCUGAAAAUUGGACCACUUGGAUUAAGCUGCCUAACUCAAUUAUUUUUAGGGAAAGAAGGGGAAAAAUAACCUUGAAGUCUGUAGUUUGUUAUCACAUCCUAAGACCUUUCUUGGAUUUUUGAUCAGAUGGAACGGAUAUGGUCAAGAGGGAAUGUCAUUCUUUGGUGGGUCUUUCUGUAGUCUUACAUAACAGAUUAAUAAAUUUACUUGGCUUGUUCUGUUGACUAGAGAACAGUGACUUUUUUUUGGAAGAAACAUUUUUCCUCUGAAAAAUGCUUAUUUAAUUCUACCAAAUUUCUCUGUAUUCUGGCUGAUACAUAUUUUUUUUUUUUUUUGGCCAAAAACAUUCAAACAUUUCAGAAGAGCUUAAAUAUUUUGAUUUUUCAUUAAAAUGAAGUGCUUUGUUUCAUGCUGUACCCAGAACCUUUUAAAAAUAAAUUUUAUAAAAGCUUUUAUUCAUCU